AUUGAACGCUGGCGGCAGGCCUAACACAUGCAAGUCGAGCGGAGCGGCGGACGGGUGAGUAAUGCCUAGGAAUCUGCCUGGUAGUGGGGGAUAACGUCCGGAAACGGGCGCUAAUACCGCAUAUUAUCAGAUGCGCCUAGGUCGUAUUAGCUAGGUGGUGGGGUAAAGGCCUACCAAGGCGACGAUCCGUAACUGGUCUGAGAGGAGGAUCAGUCACACUGGAACUGAGACACGGUCCAGAAGCCUACGGGAGGCAGCAGUGGGGAAUAUUGGACAAUGGGCGAAAGCCUGAUCCAGCCAUGCCGCGUGUGUGAAGAAGGCCUUCGGGUUGUAAAGUACUUUCAGCGGGGAGGCGUUACCCGCAGAAGAAGAACCGGCUAACUCCGUGCCAGCCGCCGCGGUAAUUC
rnacentral:rRNA from 1 species